rnacentral:rRNA from 1 species
GUACACACCGCCCGUCACACCAUGGGAGUUGGCUUUACCCGAAGCUGGUGCGCUAACCCGUAAGGGAGGCAGCCAACCACGGUAAGGUCAGCGMGUCUGGGGUGAAGUCGUAACAAGGUAGCCGUAGGUGAACCUGCAGAAGGAUCA